rnacentral:rRNA from 1 species
ACGAACGCUGGCGGCGUGCCUAAUACAUGCAAGUCGAACGGUCUUUCUAUGGAAGCUUGCUUCCACUGAGAAGAUAGUGGCGAACGGGUGAGUAACACGUGGGUAACCUGCCCAUAAGAGGGGGAUAACAUCCGGAAACGGGUGCUAAUACCGCAUAGUUUUCUUGAUCGCAUGAUUGAGAAAGGAAAGACAGCCUUUGUGCUGUCGCUUAUGGAUGGACCCGCGGCGUAUUAGUUAGUUGGUGAGGUAACGGCUCACCAAGACGAUGAUACGUAGCCGACCUGAGAGGGUGAUCGGCCACAUUGGGACUGAGACACGGCCCAAACUCCUACGGGAGGCAGCAGUAGGGAAUCUUCCGCAAUGGACGAAAGUCUGACGGAGCAACGCCGCGUGAGUGAAAGAAGGUUUUCGGAUCGUAAAACUCUGUUGUCAGAGAAGAACAAGUUGGAGAGUAACUGCUCCAGCCUUGACGGUAUCUGACCAGAAAGCCACGGCUAACUACGUGCCAGCCGCCGC